AAAUUGAAGAGUUUGAUCAUGGCUCAGAUUGAACGCUGGCGGCAGGCCUAACACAUGCAAGUCGAGCGGUAACACAGAGAGCUUGCUCUCGGGUGACGAG
rnacentral:rRNA from 1 species